UGACAGUAGUCCUUUCGUCUUAUUUUCAUUUGGAGAAGGAGUUAUAGUUUAUUAAUUGAGGUACUCCCAAGACGAGAGCAGAUCUAUUUCACCAUGUAUAGUAGCUAAACCUGCCAAUUGACAAUUGUGGUUUAACUCAGAUGGACUAUCAUGAUUUGAAAGGUUUUGAGUGAAGUAAAUAACUGUUCUCAGAAUCAAUGGUAAAAUUAUGCAUUUAAGUAUUUUGCAUCUCUGUGUAGACAAUGUGCUAAAUAUAUUGCAGUCACCGUAAAAAGUAAUGGAAUGCUUAUACUGAGUGAGGGGUUGUG